GUUUUCGGGGCAGGGUGCGUUAUCGCCACGACGUGGCGGUGACAAUUCCCGACCGGCGGUGAAAGUCCGCGAGUUUCCGAGAGGAGGCUGAACCGGUGAAAUUCCGGUACCGACGGUACAGUCCGGAUGGGAGAAAAC
rnacentral:ncRNA from 1 species